rnacentral:lncRNA from 1 species
AGGUGUUGGUUGCGUAGCUGAGGUUGCACUAGUUGAAACCUUAUUCUACAAUGAUCAUGGGAGGACAAAAAUGGAUAUGAACCAGCAUCGGCAAAAAAAAUAGAAAAAUCUGUAUUCACGCAGCUCAUGGAAGCAAAAAGUACCCUUAAAAUCAUCCAGGAAGAACAACUAUUUCUAACAAAACAAUAGAAAAAACCUUUGUGGAGCACAUGCUUAAAUUAUUCUGAAGAAUUGGUACCUUAGAAAGCAUUAUAACAACAAAACUAUUCUCAGCGACUUUGUUUUCCUCCAACGUUGUAGUGUCCUUGAGAACUUUACCCUGGUGGAUAAGCAUCUGUUGUGCAGCUGGGUAGAUAUCUUGACCUUGAGCUGUUUCUAUGUUUUUCUUCACAUCAGCAACCUGAAUAUUUAUUGCUAUGGACAUCAGUUUGUGCAACAGAGGAAAAAGGGAAAGAAGAAGGAAAGAAA